rnacentral:sRNA from 1 species
UGAAGGAACAUGGCCCUGUAUCAGAGGUGGCGGUGUCUCCGGCUCCAAGGUUUACAGGCUUGCAGGCUACACACGGCAGUUGUGUCGACCCCUCCACGCUGGUUGGCAGAGCGGCUUGGCCUUUUUGAGGAGCUAUGGGCUGCUCAGGUAAAGAGAUUAGCAAGCAUGGCACAGAAGGAACCCCGGACUAUUAAGAUAUCACUUCCUGGAGGCCAGAAAAUUGAUGCUGUGGCAUGGAACACAACCCCCUACCAACUAGCCCGGCAGAUCAGGUAACAGGUCCAUCCUGUAACUACCAGGAUUAUCCUUCUGCCCCUUUACUUUCUCUUCACUUGAGCAGGGGAAGAAAACUUGGUCUGCUUGUUUCUGUUCCAUCCCCAUUAAGAUAGCCUUUCCUGAAGAUUUUGUUUUUGUUUUUUGUUGUUGUUCUUUUAUACAGACGGGGUCUCUCCAUGUUGCCCAGGCUAGUCUUGAACUCCUGGGCUCAAGCGAUCCUUCCAUCUCAGCCUCCCGAAGUGCUGGGAUUACAGGCAUGAGCCACCAAACCCGGCCUGAGAUUUGUUUUAUCUGUAUUAGUUUCUGCAUCAGAGUCUCUGUCCUUUCAUUGGGGAAAGAAAUGAAAGCUUCUGUUGCUCUGGUAACUCAUUUCACCUUUGCAAGUUUACAGUUGCUGAGAGAUGAGCAACUUUCUCCCCACUGUGGAUUGUAACCCUGUCUGUUUUAAAUCAUUAAUUUACUUUUUAAUAAUUGAUACAUAAUAAUUGAACAUAUGAAUGGAUAUAUGUGAUAUUUUGAUAUAUGCAUACAAUAUGUAAUGAUCAAAUCAGGGUGUUCAGGAUAUCUGUUACCC